GUUUCCGUGGUGUAGUGGUUAUCACAUUCGCCUUACACGCGAAAAGUCCUCGGGUCGAAACCGAGCGGAAACA